GACGAACGCUGGCGGCGUGCUUAACACAUGCAAGUCGAACGGAAAGGCCCUGCUUUUGUGGGGUGCUCGAGUGGCGAAAGGGUGAGUAACAAGUGAGUAAACUGCCCUUGACUUUGGGAAAACUUCAGGAAAAUGGGGCCAAUUACGGAUAGGAGCACCUGCUGCAUGGUGGGGGUUGGAAAGUUUCGGCGGUUGGGGAUGGACUCGCGGCUUAUCAGCUUGUUGGUGGGGUAGUGGCUUACCAAGGCUUUGACGGGUAGCCGGCCUGAGAGGGUGACCGGCCACAUUGGGACUGAGAGACGGCCCAGACUCCUACGGGAGGCAGCAGUGGGGAAUAUUGCACAAUGGGCGGAAGCCUGAGGCAGCAACGCCGCGUGCGGGAUGACGGCCUUCUGGUUGUAAACCGCUUUCUCCUGUGACGAAGCGUGAGUGACGGUAAUGGGUAAAGAAGCACCGGCUAACUACGUG
rnacentral:rRNA from 1 species